rnacentral:rRNA from 1 species
AUACGUAGGGGGCGAGCGUUGUCCGGAAUGAUUGGGCGUAAAGGGCGCGUAGGCGGCGCGGUAAGUCUGGAGUGAAAGUCCUGCUUUCAAGGUGGGAAUUGCUUUGGAUACUGCCGCGCUUGAGUGCAGGAGAGGUUAUCGGAAUUCCCGGUGUAGCGGUGAAAUGCGUAGAGAUCGGGAGGAACACCAGUGGCGAAGGCGGGUAACUGGACUGCAACUGAAGCUGAGGCGCGAAAGUGUGGGGAGCAAACAGGAUUAGAUACCCUGGUAGUCCACACUGUAAACGAUGAAUGCUAGGUGUAAGAGGUAUCGACCCCUUUUGUGCCGGAGUCAACACAAUAAGCAUUCCGCCUGGGGAGUACGGCCGCAAGGUUGAAACUCAAAUGAAUUGACGGGG